rnacentral:lncRNA from 1 species
CAUACUUUGGCUGCCUUGGAACCAUCACAGGACUGAUUGACUUGCCUGUAUGAUAUAGCCAUCUCAACACUGGCCUGUGUGGAUGUGUUUGCUGGAUAGACACCAUUUAGUUGCCUGAGGAGAUCCAAGAUGAUUUUGUUUUUCUCCAUGAGAGAACCUCUUUCCCAGGGAGGCCACAGCCUUUUUCCGUGCUCUGAAGAACCUAGAAAACUACUUGGACUGCAUCUCUUCUGUUGUCCUCUAAGUGCUAGUCCAAUACUUCCUGUCUGAACCAGCCCCUGUGCUGUGCAGAGCCCAUUAUGGAAAGGUGAAUGAUGUUAAAUCAGGAGGACACUUGUCUAGCUUUCCAGAGCAUCUUUCCCCCACGCAAGUCACUUUGGGGAAGGUGACAUCUGAAUUCUCUGGGUCUGUAUUUCAUCUUCUAAUAGUAGACUGUUGGAGAUGCACUGGGAAAAAUAUCUUAAUGUUUGCUCUGAAGCCUCUCCCAGGAAGGAAAGGACACGGAAAGGAUCCAAGCAUUCACGCGGAAGUGGUGGCAAUACACACUGUCAUUGUUAAACCCGGCAACAGGAAGUGGGAUGAUGGAAGCGUCUGGAUAAUUCGAUCCAGCGGAGCUGCGUGAAAAGAUUUACUGGACCAAAUUGAAGAUACGUGUCAU